rnacentral:lncRNA from 1 species
GUGGUAACUGCCAAGUACUUCCCAUACUAGAUCUGGAACUGGAUCUCACCUUUCAUUUUAGGUGUUGUGUAUCCCUCUUCUAGACUGUGAAUCCUUAUCAUUAGCUCUACUUUUGGGAGAUUCAACACAAAGUUGUGUAAUUGCAUUCCAAGACUCCAGGAGAAGACCAUGAGUGCUGGGGAAGAGGGACUGAGGGAAUAACACAUCCAUGGGGACUGAAACUUUUAAAGCAGAAAUUGCAGGAGCUUCAGUUACACCAGGAUGAUUGGGAAGAGCCAAAGAGGUGGUGCCAUCAUGGUGACAAAGAUUUUACCUCCUAAAUUUUGCUUCUUGAGCUAGAAGUGAUAAGUUUCAAUAAAUAACAGAGAUCGUGAGUUAUAAGCCA